rnacentral:tmRNA from 1 species
GGGGCCGAUUUUGGAUUUGACAGCAAGAUGAUAGAUCGGGUAAGCAUGUCGAGCACUUGUUAGCACAGCUCGUAAAACUUGAACUUUUCAAGUCAGAAAUGACAACAAUUCCUACGCGCUCGCAGCAUAAUCGACUCAGUCGAUUCGCCUAAUUCACGUCACUAAGUGGCUGAACGAGCUAUCCCGAAGCAACGUACGGACCCUUCCGCGGCUUCAAUGGGGUAUCAGGCAAAUGGGACUAGUAAAGGGUGUGUCCGACGCCCGGCGCGAAAUUUACUGGGCUAAGCCGUUAGGUGGGUUGUCUGUGAUCAGCCUCCGGUCAAAAACCAAUUGCAGAAUAAACAUGUAGAAAGCACGAGUUGUCCUUGUUUGGACGCGGGUUCGACUCCCGCCGGCUCCACAA